AAAGGACAGCACAGUUUGGUGCAGGUGGAAUGCAAUCCAGCAAAACACAUUUAAAACACAUGCUGGGGAGGAAGCCACUUGCUGCUGAAAGCUUCAAAGAGCAGUUCCAAAGCACAUCGCUUAACCAGACUCCCAUAUGAGCCAUCAAAUAAUUAAGAAAAGAAAUCUCAGAGCUUUUGUUCCCCAUCCUGCAGCAGUCCGGGAGUACCAGGAAGGAGAUUUCUUUCAGAUCUGACUCAGCACGACCACACACCCCUGGAGCACUCCUGUUCAACUUCAGUCACUCACAUAUGAAGUCCUCAUAUCCUCACUGGAACAAAUGAGCGUGAGCUGUACCCUCUG
rnacentral:lncRNA from 1 species